GUAGCACCCUCAACUGACUAGUUUUACCAUAACACUUUGACCAAGGGAACCUCUUUGUUCCUUAAUCUAUGGAUCUAGUGGUAUAGAAUCUCAACUGGAAUCUCUUCAAAUGAAAGGCUAGAUGGGAUAUUUGGGCUCUCAGAAGGAUCGACUUCAAUGGAAUCACCAAUGUGUUUCUAAAGUAUGGAGACAUGAAAAAUAGGAUGCACAACUGACAACUCUGUGGGCAACUUAAGCUCACAGGCUACUCUCC
rnacentral:lncRNA from 1 species